GCGAUGUGUCGACUUGGAGACCGGCUCUGAGUUACGACAUAUUUAAUGGCACCCCAGAUGGGACUUCAAAGGGGCUAGCGUGAUCUGCGUCCGGGACCAGGACCACUCUCUCUGAAGGGUUACAGAGGCCGGCCAUAAUAUUAAGAAUUAUACUAGAAGGAAUCCUGCACAACCACGUUUACCAGAAAAAGAAUAAACGGUCAACUGAAAUAGUCACAGAACCACGUGACAGUGCCACAAGGGCGAGACAAAGGUGCAUGAUGGAGAAAGGCUUUGUUGCAGGCUAUGUUGAACUCGCGGAGUGACCAGAGACAAGUCCAGCGACC